rnacentral:rRNA from 1 species
GACGAACGCUGGCGGCGUGCUUAACACAUGCAAGUCGAACGGAAAGGCCCUGCUUUUGUGGGGUGCUCGAGUGGCGACCGGGUGAGUAACACGUGAGUAACCUGCCCUUGACUUUGGGAUAACUUCCGGAAACUGGGGCUAAUACCGGAUAGGAGCUCCUGCUGCAUGGUGGGGGUUGGAAAGUUUCGGCGGUUGGGGAUGGACUCGCGGCUUAUCAGCUUGUUGGUGGGGUAGUGGCUUACCAAGGCUUUGACGGGUAGCCGGCCUGAGAGGGUGACCGGCCACAUUGGGACUGAGAUACGGCCCAGACUCCUACGGGAGGCAGCAGUGGGGAAUAUUGCACAAUGGGCGGAAGCCUGAUGCAGCAACGCCGCGUGCGGGAUGACGGCCUUCGGGUUGUAAACCGCUUUCGCCUGUGACGAAGCGUGAGUGACGGUAAUGGGUAAAGAAGCACCGGCUAACUACGUG